rnacentral:rRNA from 1 species
CCUACGGGAGGCAGCAGUGAGGAAUAUUGGUCAAUGGACGGAAGUCUGAACCAGCCAUGCCGCGUGCAGGAUGACGGCUCUAUGGGUUGUAAACUGCUUUUGUACGGGAGUAAUGUGUCUCACGUGUAGGGCUUUGAAUGUAUCCUGCGAAUAAGGAUCGGCUAACUCCGUGCCAGCAGCCGCGGUAAUACGGAGGAUUCGAGCGUUAUCCGGAUUUAUUGGGUUUAAAGGGUGCGUAGGCUGGUGGAUAAGUUAGCGGGCAAAUGUCGGGGCUUAACCCCGGGCCUGCCGUUGAUACUGUUUGACUAGAGAGCGGAUGAAGUAGGCGGAAUGAGUAGUGUAGCGGUGAAAUGCUUAGAUAUUACGCAGAACACCGAUUGCGAAGGCAGCUUGCU